UUUUGGAUCAGACAUUAUCCUGUACAGCCUUGAUGUCCCCGUUUGAUCAACUAUGGACUAGCUCGACACCAGCUGUUUAAAACUAACUUCCUUUAUGUCAGGAUAAAUGAUGUGUUUUGGGUAUUAUGACUUUCGCCGUGUUAUCACACUUGUAUGUGCGUAAUAAUCUUUGGAGUGGUUAAGGCAGACAUUUUACACUGGUGUGGGUUAGUAACCUGGUAGCCUUACUUGUCUGAAGAGGAUUCUUUCAAGGGGACACGGACGAAACCUAAUAAGCGGUCCCAACAGUGAGCAGCGAGCACCGCGUCAUGUGAUGUGAAGUGUGUCUGUCGACCCUAAAGCCUUGACCUCUCACCCCUGACCCCGUGAGGUCACAGAUGGUCCAUAUCUGGCCCGACCCCAGGAGACUUCCUCCUCCAUCCUGAUCCUCAACAUCAGUCAGUGAGCAGUGUGUUGUGUUCCGGCUGAACGUUCCAACGGCAUCCUGACCACCACCUAACACCACCCACCACCUUGGGCAUGCCUCAGCCGGGCAUGAAUGGGAUGGAGCCUGCGUUUGGCGAGGCGUAUGGGAGCCGUGGCUGUCUCCUCAGCCCCUACCCC